UUAAAUUGAAGAGUUUGAUCAUGGCUCAGAUUGAACGCUGGCGGCAGGCCUAACACAUGCAAGUCGAACGGUAACAGAAAGAAGCUUGCUUCUUUGCUGACGAGUGGCGGACGGGUGAGUAAUGUCUGGGAAACUGCCUGAUGGAGGGGGAUAACUACUGGAAACGGUAGCUAAUACCGCAUAACGUCGCAAGACCAAAGAGGGGGACCUUCGGGCCUCUUGCCAUCGGAUGUGCCCAGAUGGGAUUAGCUUGUUGGUGGGGUAACGGCUCACCAAGGCGACGAUCCCUAGCUGGUCUGAGAGGAUGACCAGCCACACUGGAACUGAGACACGGUCCAGACUCCUACGGGAGGCAGCAGUGGGGAAUAUUGCACAAUGGGCGCAAGCCUGAUGCAGCCAUGCCGCGUGUAUGAAGAAGGCCUUCGGGUUGUAAAGUACUUUCAGCGGGGAGGAAGGGAGUAAAGUUAAUACCUUUGCUCAUUGACGUUACCCGCAGAAGAAGCACCGGCUAACUCCGUGCCAGCAGCCGCGGUAAUACGGAGGGUGCAAGCGUUAAUCGGAAUUACUGGGCGUAAAGCGCACGCAGGCGGUUUGUUAAGUCAGAUGUGAAAUCCCCGGGCUCAACCUGGGAACUGCAUCUGAUACUGGCAAGCUUGAGUCUCGUAGAGGGGGGUAGAAUUCCAGGUGUAGCGGUGAAAUGCGUAGAGAUCUGGAGGAAUACCGGUGGCGAAGGCGGCCCCCUGGACGAAGACUGACGCUCAGGUGCGAAAGCGUGGGGAGCAAACAGGAUUAGAUACCCUGGUAGUCCACGCCGUAAACGAUGUCGACUUGGAGGUUGUGCCCUUGAGGCGUGGCUUCCGGAGCUAACGCGUUAAGUCGACCGCCUGGGGAGUACGGCCGCAAGGUUAAAACUCAAAUGAAUUGACGGGGGCCCGCACAAGCGGUGGAGCAUGUGGUUUAAUUCGAUGCAACGCGAAGAACCUUACCUGGUCUUGACAUCCACGGAAGUUUUCAGAGAUGAGAAUGUGCCUUCGGGAACCGUGAGACAGGUGCUGCAUGGCUGUCGUCAGCUCGUGUUGUGAAAUGUUGGGUUAAGUCCCGCAACGAGCGCAACCCUUAUCCUUUGUUGCCAGCGGUCCGGCCGGGAACUCAAAGGAGACUGCCAGUGAUAAACUGGAGGAAGGUGGGGAUGACGUCAAGUCAUCAUGGCCCUUACGACCAGGGCUACACACGUGCUACAAUGGCGCAUACAAAGAGAAGCGACCUCGCGAGAGCAAGCGGACCUCAUAAAGUGCGUCGUAGUCCGGAUUGGAGUCUGCAACUCGACUCCAUGAAGUCGGAAUCGCUAGUAAUCGUGGAUCAGAAUGCCACGGUGAAUACGUUCCCGGGCCUUGUACACACCGCCCGUCACACCAUGGGAGUGGGUUGCAAAAGAAGUAGGUAGCUUAACCUUCGGGAAGGCGCUUACCACUUUGUGAUUCAUGACUGGGGUGAAGUCGUAACAAGGUAACCGUAGGGGAACCUGCGGUUGGAUCACCUCCUUACCUUAAAGAAGC
rnacentral:rRNA from 1 species